rnacentral:rRNA from 1 species
UACAGAGGGUGCGAGCGUUAAUCGGAAUUACUGGGCGUAAAGCGUGCGUAGGCGGUCGCGUAAGUCGGGUGUGAAAGCCCCGGGCUCAACCUGGGAAUUGCAUUCGAGACUGCUCUGCUAGGGUGCGGAAGAGGGAAGCGGAAUUUCCGGUGUAGCGGUGAAAUGCGUAGAUAUCGGGAGGAACACCGGUGGCGAAGGCGGUUCUCUGGGCCGUACCUGACACUGAGGAGCGAAAGCGUGGGGAGCGAACAGG